rnacentral:misc_RNA from 1 species
CCGAGCUCAUGCCCUUGCGGGUAGAUCUCCCACCCUAUGUUAUCGUUACCUUUGUUGCUUUGGCGGGCCGUCAGGCUUCGGUCAGGCUACCGGCUCCGGCUGGUAAGCGCCCGCCAGAGGACCCCAAACUCUUGAGUAUUAGUGUCGUCUGAGUACUAUAUAAUAGUUA